rnacentral:rRNA from 1 species
CAGUAGCCGCGGUAAUACGGAGGGUGCAAGCGUUAAUCGGAAUUACUGGGCGUAAAGCGUGCGUAGGCGGUUUGUUAAGUCUGUUGUGAAAUCCCCGGGCUCAACCUGGGAAUGGCAAUGGAUACUGGCAAGCUAGAGUGUGUCAGAGGAUGGUGGAAUUCCCGGUGUAGCGGUGAAAUGCGUAGAGAUCGGGAGGAACAUCAGUGGCGAAGGCGGCCAUCUGGGACAACACUGACGCUGAGGCACGAAAGCGUGGGGAGUAAACAGGAUUAGAUACCCGCGUAGUCCCUGUCUCUUAUAA